rnacentral:rRNA from 1 species
AAUCGACGCUGGCGGCGUGCCUCAGACAUGCAAGUCGAACGAUUGAAGCUCUCUUCGGAGAGUGUAUAGAGUGGCGCACGGGUGAGUAACACGUAAGUAAUCUACCCUCGAGUGGGGAAUAACAACCGGAAACGGUUGCUAAUACCGCAUAAUGCAGCGGCACCGCAAGGUGACAGUUGUUAAUGAUUUAUCGCUUGAGGAGGAGCUUGCGGCAGAUUAGCUAGUUGGUAGGGUAACGGCUUACCAAGGCUACGAUCUGUAACCGGUCUAAGAGGACGGUCGGUCACACUGACACUGAAUAACGGGUCAGACUCCUACGGGAGGCAGCAGUCGGGAAUUUUGGGCAAUGGGCGAAAGCCUGACCCAGCAACGCCGCGUGAAGGAUGAAGUAUUUCGGUAUGUAAACUUCGAAAGAAUAGGAAGAAUUAAUGACGGUACUAUUUAUAAGGUCCGGCUAACUACGUGCCAGCAGCCGCGGUAAU